UGGGGAAUAUUGGACAAUGGGCGAAAGCCUGAUCCAGCCAUGCCGCGUGUGUGAAGAAGGUCUUCGGAUUGUAAAGCACUUUAAGUUGGGAGGAAGGGCAGUAAGCGAAUACCUUGCUGUUUUGACGUUACCGACAGAAUAAGCACCGGCUAACUCUGUGCCAGCAGCCGCGGUAAUACAGAGGGUGCAAGCGUUAAUCGGAAUUACUGGGCGUAAAGCGCGCGUAGGUGGUUCGUUAAGUUGAAUGUGAAAGCCCCGGGCUCAACCUUGGACCUGCAUCUAAAGCUGCCGAGCUAGAGUAGGGCAGAGGGUGGUGGACUUUCCUGUGUAGCGGUGAAAUGCGUAGGUAUAGGAAGGAACACCAGUGGCGAAGGCGACCGCCUGGGCUCAUACUGACACUGAGGUGCGAAAGCGUGGGGAGCAAACAGG
rnacentral:rRNA from 1 species